rnacentral:rRNA from 1 species
AACGUAGGGACCGAGCGUUAUCCGGAUUUACUGGGCGUAAAGCGCGUUCAGGCGGUUUGGCAAGUCGGGCAUGAAAUCUCUCGGCUCAACCGGGAGAGGUUGUCCGAUACUGCUGGACUUGAGGGCAGUAGAGGGUGGUGGAAUUCCGGGUGUAGUGGUGAAAUGCGUAGAUAUCCGGAGGAACACCAGUGGCGAAAGCGGCCACCUGGACUGCACCUGACGCUGACACGCGAAAGCUAGGGGAGCGAACGGG